rfam:Folsomia candida strain VT population Fcan01_Sc001, whole genome shotgun sequence.
UCACUUACCUGGCGUAGGGCAUAGCACGAUCCACAAGGUGCUUGCCCCAGGCUGAGACCCUCCAUUGCACUUCGGUGAGGUUGACGCUUGCGAUUAUCCCAAACGUGGAUAACUCGGGCGCAAAAUUUUUUCCACGGGGCACAGCGUUCGCGCUUGCCCCUA